AUACGUAGGUGGCAAGCGUUGUCCGGAAUUAUUGGGCGUAAAGCGCGCGCAGGUGGUUCCUUAAGUCUGAUGUGAAAGCCCCCGGCUCAACCGGGGAGGGUCAUUGGAAACUGGGGAACUUGAGUGCAGAAGAGGAUAGUGGAAUUCCAAGUGUAGCGGUGAAAUGCGUAGAGAUUUGGAGGAACACCAGUGGCGAAGGCGACUGUCUGGGCUGUAACUGACGCUGAGGAGCGAAAGCGUGGGGAGCAAACAGGAUUAGAUACCCUGGUAGUCCACGCCGUAAACGAUGAGUGCUAAGUGUUGGGGGGUUUCCGCCCCUCAGUGCUGCAGCUAACGCAUUAAGCACUCCGCCUGGGGAGUACGGUCGCAAGACUGAAACUCAAAUGAAUUGACGGGG
rnacentral:rRNA from 1 species